GGGGAUUGAACCCAUGACGGGCAUGUUGUUAAGUCGUACGAGUUGACGACUGUACUGCGAGACCGGUAGCUUUUAUUUAUUUACCAAAGCUAUAUUGAAGCUACUACUAACACGCAAUCGGUCGUGAUACACAAUAGAAAUAGCAAAUACAAUACAAAUACAAAUGUAAGGACAAACAUUAAAAUACUUUCUAUGUGGUUGUUCUAUUGAUGACCCAGCUGGCAACCUUCGCGACGAGCAUGCACAUUUUUACCAAACAAUGAUGACCCUCGCUUUCCCCGCAUAGGCUAACAAUAAACUAAAAAUGUACAUUUUACGUCUCGUGACAAAAUAAGAAAACAA